rnacentral:tRNA from 2 species
GCACCCGUAGCUCAGCUGGAUAGAGCGUCGCCCUCCGAAGGCGAAGGCCACACGUUCGAAUCGUGUCGGGUGCACCA